rnacentral:sRNA from 1 species
GGAGGGGGUGGCAUCUUCCGUCUUCAGGCGCGGGCCUGGCCCAGAGGCGACAGGAAGCCAGGACGCCGGGGAUUGUCUCUCGCAACCGCAGCCCAGCCCCAGUCCGGGAGGAAGUUCUGCCGGGCGCUCUCCGCGGGUGCCUCCCUGGUUAUACUGUUAUACAGGAAACCUGGCAGCGCCGGAGCCGCGCGGUCGAGGAGGGAGCGCGGGACGCCGAGCCCACGCAAGCCUGCCGGGACAAGUGGAGACGAGGCCGGCGAGCGGACGCCCCGAGGUCGGCGAAGGAGCUGUGGCCGGGUCCCCUUCUUAUCCAGCCCGAGACAUUGCGCUCCGGUGGGCGUCCCUGCGCUGGGAAUCCCGCUCGGAGUUUUUCCAGGCCCGGCCGGGUUGCGCCGGGAAAGGCCCUGGUGGGGGAGGUGGGCCCGGAGCGGGCAGGUCUGCAAUCCGGUUGGAAGGGCUCGCAGUGGGUGAUUCAGGGUGCAAAUGACCUCCCCGCGAACGGGAACGCCCGCACUAGACAACCAGUCCUAACCCGGCAUUCCCAGAGCCGCGGGCGGGAGGGACGCAGGGACUCCGGGACAGCAAAUCCCCGGGGGAGAAGGGAAGGGGGAAGGCGGGGCAGGGGAGGCCCACCCUCCUUGGGCUCCGCUAGCGACCAGCCAGCGCCCCUUCAGACGCAGCCUUCCUGGCUCCCGGCCCCGGCCUUCUGCUCCAGGCCUCGUCCCAAUGCCCCCCAAGGUCCCCAGCAGAGGCAUUCUGGCUCCUCCUCGCCCCUCCCAGACACAGCUGCUUUGGGUAUGGGUGACAGCACUCCUGAGCGUCCCUGUCCCUAUUCGCUGCCGUUGCCAGCUCCGAUUCCGCUCAACCUCUCGGGCCCCCCGCUGGAAGCCCCGCCCAGGGCGAUGGUAGGGGCCUAACCUGCCGGCUCCGCCCACCCGGCCCUUGGGCUCCCUGAGGCCCGCCCAGCCGACUCGAGGAACGCUUGAGAAAGUGGCGAAGGAGCCCUACGGGAGUCCCAGUUGGACCCUGCUCCUUCGCUCCCUCAGCCUCGGCAAGCGGCGGUCUCCUGGCCCUUGGCCCGGGUCACCUUAGGAGGCAGGAGGAGAUGUGGUCAGUGUGGGAGCUUGGAGGGGCCAUGCACUUCCGGAGAAGACCACCGACUCAUGGCUUUGGUGGAGGGGCGCCGGCAGAUUUAGCUGGAGAGCAAUGGUGUGAUCUCCACACACUGCAAUCUCCACCUCCGGGGUUCAAGUGGUUCUCCUGCCUCAGCCUCCCAAGCAGAUGGGACUACAGGUACUGGUAGUUAACUCUCAAGGA